AGUGAACGCUGGCGGUAGGCCUAACACAUGCAAGUCGAACGGCAGCACAGUAAGAGCUUGCUCUUACGGGUGGCGAGUGGCGGACGGGUGAGGAAUACAUCGGAAUCUACUUUUUCGUGGGGGAUAACGUAGGGAAACUUACGCUAAUACCGCAUACGACCUACGGGUGAAAGCAGGGGAUCUUCGGACCUUGCGCGAUUGAAUGAGCCGAUGUCGGAUUAGCUAGUUGGCGGGGUAAAGGCCCACCAAGGCGACGAUCCGUAGCUGGUCUGAGAGGAUGAUCAGCCACACGGGAACUGAGACACGGUCCAGACUCCUACGGGAGGCAGCAGUGGGGAAUAUUGGACAAUGGGCGCAAGCCUGAUCCAGCCAUACCGCGUGGGUGAAGAAGGCCUUCGGGUUGUAAAGCCCUUUUGUUGGGAAAGAAAGCAGCAGGUUAAUACCCCGCUGUUCUGACGGUACCCAAAGAAUAAGCACCGGCUAACUUCGUG
rnacentral:rRNA from 1 species